GAUAAACGCUGGCGGCGUGCAUGAGACAUGCAAGUCGAACGAAGGAUCGGGCUUGCUCGAUCCUUAGUGGCGGACGGCUGAGUAACGCGUAGGUGACCUACCCCGAAGUGGGGAAUAACUGCCCGAAAGGGUGGCUAAUACCGCAUGUGGUCGCACGUUCAUUCGUGCGAGUAAAGCCGCAAGGCGCUUCGGGAGGGGCCUGCGUCCGAUUAGCUCGUUGGUGGGGUAAUGGCUUACCAGGGCGACGAUCGGUAGGUGGUCUGAGAGGACGAUCACCCAGACUGGGACUGAGACACGGCCCAGACUCCUACGGGAGGCAGCAGUCGGGAAUUUUGCUCAAUGGGGGAAACCCUGAAGCAGCAACGCCGCGUGAGGGAUGAAGGCCUUCGGGUUGUAAACCUCUUUUGUCAGGGACGAUGAUGACGGUACCUGGCGAAUAAGCCACGGCUAACUACGUG
rnacentral:rRNA from 1 species